rnacentral:misc_RNA from 1 species
GAAAAUUUAAAAUACCGAGAUUGAGGAGUCUAGGGUCAUAGUGCUAUAAACCAAUUGUAAGACUUAGUUAUAAGCUAUGAGCUUAUUCCUUGCCCCCUUUUCUGGUCAGUGUAAUUUGAACAUGGAGAGGAGGAAGAAUCGAAUGUGAUUUUGAUAAUCUAAUUUGAAUUGAAAUUUAUUGUUGGUGGGGGUUGAUAUUGGUUUAUUUGAUAAUCUAUUUGAUAAUUUAUUUGAUAAUCUAAUAGAAUCUAAUUUGAUAAUCUAUUAAUUGAUUUGUUUAUUUUUGGUGGGGGUUGAUUUUGGUCUAGAUUUUUUAUGGUUUGUUUUGAGUGGUGUAAAGGUAGGCAAUUUGGUGGUUGUGUCAAAAUAUAGCUAUUUAAUUUCUCUUAAAAACUGUAAAAAUUAUUGUCCCUCAUUCUUUCUUGUAGACUUUUGAGUAUUUACAUUUGGCUGUGCACAUGGUGGGUGUGCUUGACCUGCUAUUAUAUGUGAUUUGUGCAAAUCAGUUUUAAAUGAAAAGGACUUCUUCUUUUUCAGCCAGAUAAGAUUGCUUAUUGUUAUACCAUAUUAGAUCCAUUUUUUAAAUUCUGUUUCACUUUCUGGUUUCUGCUAUAUUUCUCAUCAUAAUUUCUGGGGCUGCCUCAUGAACAGAUAACACAAACUAUUCAAGUA